rnacentral:misc_RNA from 1 species
AAAAAAAAAAAAAUAAAAUCAAUCGUAUAUAAAAGAAAAGGCAUUUACAAUAUCCGUAUACCAGUAGCUACCAUGGAAGCUCCCUAAAAUAUGUGCACAAGUAAUCUUUUAAAUCAGAAGUAGUAUAACUCUUAAAUAUCCACCCUGUCAAUUUCAUUAUUUUCCUCAUUUUCUGAGCUGAACUCACCUCGUGAGAUAAUAUUCAUGAAGGUCUUGGUGGUUUGGCCACCUGCAUGGGAAGUCUUCUUUGCAGCCCCAG